rnacentral:lncRNA from 1 species
GAUUGUGGAGUUCUGCUCUAAUGGCAGAACCCACACUAUAUAGAAGAUUAAAUAAAGGUAUACCUUCCAUCAAUUAGUUUCUGAUAAUCCACCAUCAUUUAGUAAUGAAUUAACUUAAGAUGAAGUUGUUAAAGUGGUUCUACUCCUAUACAAUCGAAGAAACUAGUGAUCGUCAAAGAGGUGAAGUUGAAACAUCGUAAUGAUCUAGAGAAGAUGGACGAAAUUAUAAAAAAAGAGGAUUGAAGAAACAUUCAUGUCCAAAAUUCCCCAAAAUAUAAAAAUCUGAAGAAAAAAAAUCAAAGAAUCAAGCGAAAUUUCAAGUUCUGAUGUUGAAAACUCUCCUGAAUAUGAUUUUUAAGAAGAUAAGGAC